AUUUUCUUUUACUUUUCCAUAAUGAUUGAAGGAAUUUUAUGAAGUCCAAAUCUGUGCAACACCAAGGGACAAACAUAUUACCAUACAUUCUUCAUGGGAGCCAGAUCCUGAUUAUUCAGAUAUGGAAGAUGACACAGAAUAUGUUAAUCUCAGGGAAUACCACAGUAUAGACAACAAGUUUCGAGUUUUAAAUGCACACAGUUGUUUGCCUCGGUAUGGAUACCACAAAUGGCUUGUAGACUGGUGUUUAGAGGGACUGGACAUGAUAUAUGGUUUUACAUUGGACCCAUUAAAGAAAUGCAUUGUAGUAGUCGGAGGUGAUUUUAGUGAGGAGAGCAAGUCACUUCUUUAUUCAAAAAAUGCAGACGGAAAGUGCUACUUAGAAUUUAC